ensembl:snRNA Gm25899 predicted gene, 25899
AGCUUUGCGAAUUGGCUGUAUUGUAGUCCAUGAGGUUUAUCCGAGGCGCAAUUAUUGCUAAUUGAAAACUUUUCCCAAUACCCUGCCAUGAUGACUUGAAAUAAAGUCGGCAUUGGCAAUUUUUGACAGUCUCUACUGAGA